rnacentral:lncRNA from 1 species
CACGAGGGAGCUCAUUCGCCUUGGUAGAUGCAUUGGAGUCUUGUAUCCCAUAACGUUCGGAGCAUUUAGUCGAAAGCAUCGUUGUUUAUGGUGUUUACUGAGUUUUGAACCCUGAACCUCUUGGUUGCAAGUUUAUGCACCUAACGAGUUCACCCAUCAUUCCGAUCUGAUGGAGGGCGGCGGGCAAUAUAUUUCGACACUCUCCCUCACGUCUAGCCUUAUUUAGUCCUUAGACGUGGGAUCGAUGUAGGCCGUAGAAUUGAUUAUUUUUAAUACUGCGUUGGCAGGGUCAGCUCGGAUACCAUAUUGAAUUCAUGCACCAGCAAAUUAAUCCAAAAGUCCAAACUAUGCAAGGGGACUGGACAUUACUCCAAGAGUUACUCAUAUGGUGACUAAUAUAUUAUGUUAUACAUGCACCUCUUUCUUUAUUAGUUACUUGACACAUCAUAUAUUUUGGCUAGAUACUUGUGAUGUUACCAUCUAUGUUACUCUCACUAUGAGUAGUCUAAGAAGUCGAUCUCCAUUAUCCUAUUAAUCCCAAUCAUAUGCCACAUCAUCACACAUGUCAUCUUAUCAAUUAUUAUUUCUUUCUUUCCUAAUUGCAUGCUCCACCCAACUAACAUACUUAAUGCGCAAGCAACCAUGCAUGCGUGGAAAAGUAGUAUCUACUUCAAUACACAAAUGCAUGAGAAAUUGUUUACAUUGUACAAUAAUGAUGUGACAUAUUUAUGCUUCAUAUAUACAACCAAUCUCACUGAAAUAUAUUCCAAUCAGUUCCCGUCCCAACACUCGGCGUAUCAUCAGUUCAUAUAUAUAGUGAUAAUGUUGAUGUUUUUUCUUAGAGACACUGGUGCAUUAUUUUCGAAAUGUGAACAUUCAAUUGCAAACAAAUUGAGAUGUAGAGUAUGUAACUAGAGCACUCCAAAAAGUGAGCGGAAAGAACACUAACAAAAACUAGGUAUCAUAUACUAGCAUAUCUGAUGAUACACUAAAAAGAUGUGUUCGGUGGGAGUGGCCAUGCCAGUGUUAUAUCACACUCACACCUAGUCAUAUUGCACGAUCUCUCUCUCUCACUCCAUGUAUAAAUGUCCAGAGUCCCGAACACACGAUCAUUCACAGACAGCAGCUCCAACAGAACAAUGGAUCAGCUCCUCGUGCUCCUCGCGCUUCUCUUGUGCGGCCUCCUCGCCGUCCUCCGGCGCGGCCGCGGCCGUGCUCCUCCUCCUCCACCCUCACUCGCCAUGCACAAGAUCACCGACCCUGCCGUCGCACACCGCGCGCUCGUCGAGAACGCCGACGCCUUCUCGAACCGCCCGCCCGCGCGCCUGCACGUGGCCCUGGCCNNNNNNN